rnacentral:rRNA from 1 species
GAUGAACGCUGGCGGCGUGCCUAAUACAUGCAAGUCGAGCGAACGGACGAGAAGCUUGCUUCUCUGAUGUUAGCGGCGGACGGGUGAGUAACACGUGGAUAACCUACCUAUAAGACUGGGAUAACUUCGGGAAACCGGAGCUAAUACCGGAUAAUAUUUUGAACCGCAUGGUUCAAAAGUGAAAGACGGUCUUGCUGUCACUUAUAGAUGGAUCCGCGCUGCAUUAGCUAGUUGGUAAGGUAACGGCUUACCAAGGCAACGAUGCAUAGCCGACCUGAGAGGGUGAUCGGCCACACUGGAACUGGGACACGGUCCAGACUCCUAAGGGAGGCAGCAGUAGGGAAUCUUCCGCAAUGGGCGAAAGCCUGACGGAGCAACGCCGCGUGAGUGAUGAAGGUCUUCGGAUCGUAAAACUCUGUUAUUAGGGAAGAACAUAUGUGUAAGUAACUGUGCACAGCUUGACGGUACCUAAUCAGAAAGCCACGGCUAACUACGUG